GUGCCAGCAGCCGCGGUAAUACGUAGGAGGCGAGCGUUGUCCGGAGUUACUGGGCGUAAAGCGCACGCAGGCGGUCCUAUUAGUCUGGGGUGACAGUUCCCGGCUUAACCGGAAAAGGACUCUGGAAACUGUAGGACUUGAGGGCUUCAGAGGGAUGUGGAAUUCCAGGUGGAGUGGUGAAAUGCGUAGAGAUCUGGAAGAACACCAAAGGCGAAGGCAGCAUCCUGGGAAGUUCCUGACGCUCGGGUGCGAAAGCCAGGGGAGCGAACGGGAUUAGAAACCCCUGUAGUCC
rnacentral:rRNA from 1 species